GUGGGGAAUCUUGCGCAAUGGGCGAAAGCCUGACGCAGCGACGCCGCGUGAGUGAUGAAGGCCUUAGGGUUGUAAAGCUCUGUGGAGUGGGACGAAUAAGCCAUGGUUAACACCCAUGGUGAUGACGGUACCUCUUUAGCAAGCACCGGCUAACUCUGUGCCAGCAGCCGCGGUAAGACAGAGGGUGCAAACGUUGUUCGGAAUUACUGGGCGUAAAGCGCGUGUAGGCUGUUACGCAAGUCGGGUGUGAAAGCCCAGGGCUCAACCCUGGAAGUGCAUUCGAAACUGCGUGACUAGAAUCUCGGAGAGGGUGGCGGAAUUCUGGGUGUAGAGGUGAAAUUCGUAGAUAUCCAGAGGAACACCGGUGGCGAAGGCGGCCACCUGGACGAGUAUUGACGCUGAGACGCGAAAGCGUGGGGAGCAAACAGG
rnacentral:rRNA from 1 species